GGACUACCAGGGUUUCUAAUCCCGUUCGCUCCCCUGGCUUUCGCACCUCAGCGUCAGAUACGUCCCAGGAUGCUGCCUUCGCCUUUGGUGUUCUUCCAGAUCUCUACGCAUUUCACCGCUCCACCUGGAAUUCCGCAUCCCUCUGACAUCCUCAAGUCCUCCAGUUUUCCAAGACCUGUCGGGGUUAAGCCCCAACCUGUCACUCAGAACUUGAAGGACCGCCUGCGUGCGCUUUACGCCCAAUAAAUCCGGACAACGCUUGCCCCCUACGUAUUACCGCGGCUGCUGGCAC
rnacentral:rRNA from 1 species